rnacentral:lncRNA from 1 species
UUUUCUCUUUUUGUCACAAUAGAGAGACAUCGUCCUCGAUAUUUUUUUAAAAAAUUUGGGCUGAUUUUAAAAUUUUCUGCCAAAUUUCAUUUUGGUUUAUUUGGUGGGUCAGAUCAAAUUUUAGUUAAAUUAUGGUCAGGGUCGGAUUUUAAUUUAUCAAUGGGAGGACUGGAAAAUAAUUAUUUUUGAACCAUAAGAAACAUACACAGUUUGGUACAAACACGGAUGUCUAAAUUCACUAAGGAACACAUAAAGAUGUCAUACUCACAAGUCACAAUCCAAAAAGAAAAAUAAGUUCCCAAACGAGAAAUGAAAACAAGAAAAAAACUUACAAAUACACAAAACACUGAGAAAAUACUGUAAAUAUUACAAGUUUUUCUAUAAAUAAACGGUAUAAUAUAAUUAGAUAAAUGAGCUAAAGCACCAGUCGGACACUUGGGUGUAGAGAAUAUGACUUUAUAAGCAAACAAAAAAUUUGAUCAAAAAAAAAAGAAGAAGGAAUAAGAAAUUAGUGAAGGUGCAAAAUUAAUAAAAUGAUAAAGUGAGUUAAAAGAAGAGUUAGACUUGUAAGAGUCAAAGUGAGAAGUUCGAGUAGAGAUGGCUCAAUACCCAAUAUGGACUAGUGUCAGUGAUGUUCACAUGGCAAUGCUCAAUUCACUGGCUGCUUCUGCUUAUUCUUUCUCCAAUCUUCAACGGCUAACAUUUUUUCCUAUUCCCAUCGAAUCAAUGACCAGGCAAAAGUUAAACAAAAUUACGCAAUUUAAUGUCAUGUGUUUGGAAAUAAUCGUGAUUGUUUGUUUAUAUAUUAUAUAUGUGAUAAAUUGAUAAUGCUCAUCCCAUGCAGAAUGUUCUGUAUGAAACGAACCAAACAUCAUCUUCAAAAGAAAGUAAACGAACUAAAUAUUGUAUCCAUUUGUACAGAGAGAUGUGUUUGUUUUUGGCAAUAAUAAGCACAGUGCAUGAGUCGCCUGGUCUCGUG